AACGAACGCUGGCGGCAUGCCUAACACAUGCAAGUCGAACGAAGUCUUCGGACUUAGUGGCGCACGGGUGCGUAACGCGUGGGAAUCUGCCCUUGGGUGCGGAAUAACUUCUCGAAAGGGAUGCUAAUACCGCAUAAUGUCGUAAGACCAAAGAUUUAUCGCCCAAGGAUGAGCCCGCGUAAGAUUAGCUAGUUGGUGGGGUAAAAGCCUACCAAGGCGACGAUCUUUAGCUGGUCUGAGAGGAUGAUCAGCCACACUGGGACUGAGACACGGCCCAGACUCCUACGGGAGGCAACAGUGGGGAAUAUUGGACAAUGGGCGAAAGCCUGAUCCAGCAAUGCCGCGUGAGUGAUGAAGGCCCUAGGUUGUAAAGCUCUUUACCAGGGAUGAUAAUGACAGUACCUGGAGAAUAAGCUCCGGCUAACUCCGUGCCAGCAGCCGCGGUAAU
rnacentral:rRNA from 1 species